rnacentral:rRNA from 1 species
GAGGAAAAGAAACUAACAAGGAUUCCCCUAGUAACGGCGAGUGAAGCGGGAAGAGCUCAAAUUUGUAAUCUGGCACUUUCAGUGUCCGAGUUGUAAUCUCGAGAAGUGUUUUCCGCGCCGGACCGCAUACAAGUCUGUUGGAAUACAGCGUCAUAGUGGUGAGAACCCCGUAACUGAUGCGGAUGCCCGGUGCUUUGUGAUACACUUUCGAAGAGUCGAGUUGUUUGGGAAUGCAGCUCAAAUUGGGUGGUAAAUUCCAUCUAAAGCUAAAUAUUGGCGAGAGACCGAUAGCGAACAAGUACCGUGAGGGAAAGAUGAAAAGCACUUUGGAAAGAGAGUUAACAGUACGUGAAAUUGUUGGAAGGGAAACGCAUGAGGUCAGACU